rnacentral:rRNA from 1 species
GACGAACGCUAGCUACAGGCUUAACACAUGCAAGUCGAGGGGCAGCGGGGAUCUAGCUUGCUAGAUUUGCCGGCGACCGGCGCACGGGUGAGUAACACGUAUCCAACCUGGCCCAUACUCGGGUAUAGCCUCUCGAAAGGGAGAUUAAUCCCCGAUGUUGUUGUUUCACCGCAUGGUGUUGCAACCAAAGAAUUUCGGUAUGGGAUGGGGAUGCGUUCCAUUAGCUUGUUGGCGGGGUAACGGCCCACCAAGGCGACGGUGGAUAGGGGUUCUGAGAGGAAGGUACCCCACGCCGGAACUGAGACACGGUCCAGACUCCUACGGGGGGCAGCAGUGAGGAAUAUUGGUCAAUGGGCGAGAGCCUGAACCAGCCAAGUAGCGGGAAGGAUGACUGCCCUACGGGUUGUAUACUUCUUUUGUUUGGGAAUAAAGUUCAGCACGUGUGCUGUUUUGUAUGUACCAUUCGAAUAAGCAUCGGCUAAUUCCGUGCCAGCCGCCGCAGUAACAC